rnacentral:rRNA from 1 species
GUCGGUGUUUAUUGCAAUGAGGUUCCACCCGUUCCCAUUCCGAACACGGAAGUUAAGCUCAUUCGCGUCGACAAUACUUGGCUGGAGACCGCCUGGGAAGAUAGAUCGAUGCCGACA